rnacentral:rRNA from 1 species
GACGAACGCUGGCGGCGUGCCUAAUACAUGCAAGUAGAACGCUGAAGAGAGGAGCUUGCUCUUCUUGGAUGAGUUGCGAACGGGUGAGUAACGCGUAGGUAACCUGCCUUGUAGCGGGGGAUAACUAUUGGAAACGAUAGCUAAUACCGCAUAACAAUGGCUGACACAUGUCAUUUAUUUGAAAGGGGCAAUUGCUCCACUACAAGAUGGACCUGCGUUGUAUUAGCUAGUAGGUGAGGUAAUGGCUCACCUAGGCGACGAUACAUAGCCGACCUGAGAGGGUGAUCGGCCACACUGGGACUGAGACACGGCCCAGACUCCUACGGGAGGCAGCAGUAGGGAAUCUUCGGCAAUGGGGGCAACCCUGACCGAGCAACGCCGCGUGAGUGAAGAAGGGUUUCGGAUCGUAAAGCUCUGUUGUAAGUCAAGAACGGGUGUGAGAGUGGAAAGUUCACACUGUGACGGUAGCUUACCAGAAAGGGACGGCUAACUACGUG